UUAAGUUAUUAAGGGCGCACGGUGGAUGCCUUGGCACUAGAAGCCGAUGAAGGACGUUACUAACGACGAUAUGCUUUGGGGAGCUGUAAGUAAGCGACGAUCCAGAGAUGUCCGAAUGGGGGAACCCAACACAAGUUAUGUUGUGUUAUCGACAAGUGAAUUCAUAGCUUGUCAGAAGGCAGACCCGGAGAACUGAAACAUCUUAGUACCCGGAGGAAGAGAAAGAAAAUUCGAUUCCCUGAGUAGCGGCGAGCGAAACGGGAAGAGCCCAAACCAACAAGCUUGCUUGUUGGGGUUGUAGGACACUCUAUACGGAGUUACAAAGGAAUAUAUUAAACGAAUCAUCUGGAAAGUUGAAUCAAAGAAGGUAAUAAUCCUGUAGUUGAAAAUAUAUUCUCUCUUGAGUGGAUCCUGAGUACGACGGAGCACGUGAAAUUCCGUCGGAAUCUGGGAGGACCAUCUCCUAAGGCUAAAUACUCUCUAGUGACCGAUAGUGAACCAGUACCGUGAGGGAAAGGUGAAAAGUACCCCGGAAGGGGAGUGAAAGAGAACUUGAAACCGUGUGCUUACAAGUAGUCAGAGCCCGUUAAUGGGUGAUGGCGUGCCUUUUGUAGAAUGAACCGGCGAGUUACGAUCUGAUGCAAGGUUAAGCAGAAAAUGUGGAGCCGUAGCGAAAGCGAGUCUGAAUAGGGCGUGUAGUAUUUGGUCGUAGACCCGAAACCAGGUGAUCUACCCAUGGUCAGGUUGAAGUUCAGGUAACACUGAAUGGAGGACCGAACCGACUUACGUUGAAAAGUGAGCGGAUGAACUGUGGGUAGCGGAGAAAUUCCAAACGAACUUGGAGAUAGCUGGUUCUCUCCGAAAUAGCUUUAGGGCUAGCCUCAAGUGAUGAUUAUUGGAGGUAGAGCACUGUUUGGACGAGGGGCCCCUCUCGGGUUACCGAAUUCAGACAAACUCCGAAUGCCAAUUAAUUUAACUUGGGAGUCAGAAUAUGGGUGAUAAGGUCCGUGUUCGAAAGGGAAACAGCCCAGACCACCAGCUAAGGUCCCAAAAUAUAUGUUAAGUGGAAAAGGAUGUGGCGUUGCCCAGACAACUAGGAUGUUGGCUUAGAAGCAGCCAUCAUUUAAAGAGUGCGUAAUAGCUCACUAGUCGAGUGACACUGCGCCGAAAAUGUACCGGGGCUAAACAUAUUACCGAAGCUGUGGAUUGUCCUUUGGACAAUGGUAGGAGAGCGUUCUAAGGGCGUUGAAGCAUGAUCGCAAGGACAUGUGGAGCGCUUAGAAGUGAGAAUGCCGGUGUGAGUAGCGAAAGACGGGUGAGAAUCCCGUCCACCGAUUGACUAAGGUUUCCAGAGGAAGGCUCGUCCGCUCUGGGUUAGUCGGGUCCUAAGCUGAGGCCGACAGGCGUAGGCGAUGGAUAACAGGUUGAUAUUCCUGUACCACCUAUAAUCGUUUUAAUCGAUGGGGGGACGCAGUAGGAUAGGCGAAGCGUACGAUUGGAUUGUACGUCUAAGCAGUGAGAUUGAGUGUUAGGCAAAUCCGGCACUCUUAAGAUUGAGCUGUGAUGGGGAGAGGAAAUUGUUUCCUCGAGUCGUUGAUUUCACACUGCCGAGAAAAGCCUCUAGAUAGAGAUUAGGUGCCCGUACCGCAAACCGACACAGGUAGUCAAGAUGAGAAUUCUAAGGUGAGCGAGCGAACUCUCGUUAAGGAACUCGGCAAAAUGACCCCGUAACUUCGGGAGAAGGGGUGCUCUUUAGGGUGCAAGCCCAGAAGAGCCGCAGUGAAUAGGCCCAAGCGACUGUUUAUCAAAAACACAGGUCUCUGCUAAACCGUAAGGUGAUGUAUAGGGGCUGACGCCUGCCCGGUGCUGGAAGGUUAAGAGGAGUGGUUAGCUUCUGCGAAGCUACGAAUCGAAGCCCCAGUAAACGGCGGCCGUAACUAUAACGGUCCUAAGGUAGCGAAAUUCCUUGUCGGGUAAGUUCCGACCCGCACGAAAGGCGUAACGAUUUGGGCACUGUCUCAACGAGAGACUCGGUGAA
rnacentral:rRNA from 1 species